AAAUUUCUAGGGUUCUCUCGUUUUGGUUCUCUUUCUGUAGUCUUGGUGGUUUUUCUCUGUAAAUCUUCUUGAGUGUUGAUUUUAGAUUGUUUUUGGUAAAUGAUCUGUGAGAAAAAGAUUGCAUAGUUUACAUUGUUUUUGAGUUUGAAAGAUAGGCGAGAGAAAUUAAAGAAAUCUCGGAUUUCUUCAUACAGUUAUACCAUUUCUUGGUGAUUUCUUAGUUGAAUUGAGCAGAAUCUACUUGUAGAUAUUCAACGGGUGAGUAGGCUUUAAAGCUGAACAUCUGGACCUUUGUAGCGAAAAAUCCUUUGUGUUCGCUUUACUUCCUGCAAAUUUUCUGUUAAACCUUUGUAAAUUACAAUUCUGAGACCAACAGAAAAUCAAGUCGCAUUUGGUUGCAAGGCCACUUUUAGCCCUGAAUCAGAAUCAUUACUCGAUAAGAAUAUACCCAAGGUUCUACUAUUUGACAUUUGAUCUGUGUCCAUCGAGGAAAAGGGAUAUCCCAGAAUAUAUUCGUCGCAUUCACAUGGAGAAGGUAGUGCAAUUUGUAUCUGAGACCGUUCACAUGAAUAAGACAGUGGAGAAACAAAACUAGUUGAACAUGCUGAUGAAGAUGAGGAACCAUUUUCUUAAUUCAUGACAUGGAACUGGAACUGGAACUGAG
rnacentral:lncRNA from 1 species